rnacentral:rRNA from 1 species
AACGAACGCUGGCGGCAGGCUUAACACAUGCAAGUCGAGCGCCCCGCAAGGGGAGCGGCAGACGGGUGAGUAACACGUGGGAAUCUACCCAUCCCUACGGAACAACUCCGGGAAACUGGAGCUAAUACCGUAUACGCCCUUUUGGGGAAAGAUUUAUCGGGGAUGGAUGAGCCCGCGUCGGAUUAGCUAGUUGGUGGGGUAAAGGCCUACCAAGGCGACGAUCCGUAGCUGGUCUGAGAGGAUGAUCAGCCACACUGGGACUGAGACACGGCCCAGACUCCUACGGGAGGCAGCAGUGGGGAAUAUUGGACAAUGGGCGCAAGCCUGAUCCAGCCAUGCCGCGUGAGUGAUGAAGGCCUUAGGGUUGUAAAGCUCUUUCGCCAGGGACGAUAAUGACGGUACCUGGAUAGGAAGCCCCGGCUAACUUCGUGCCAGCCGCCGCAGUAAAAC